rnacentral:tRNA from 1 species
CAUUAGAUAACUAAAUUUAAGUGUUGGUCUCUUAAACCUAUAAUAGUAAGCCAUUCUAAUUACUUCUAAUGA